GCCGCUUCUCCCUGCCCGCACUGUGAGUCCUGCACUCAGAUUCCCAAAUAAAUCCUGGGGCCUGAUGUAGGCACUGAGGAUGCAGGAUGCAGCAAUGAACGAAUGGGCCAGGCAUCAUGAAGUCUACAUCCAAGCGGUGCAUGCAGAAAGGAAACAGUGACUACGUAGGAUCAUGCCAGGACGUGAUGCAUGUAUCGAAUGAAGGAAUCUUCUUUCCCUCUCCCUGCUCCCAUCCAGCAGGUCUUUGACUUCCAAGCUGGGCCAAGGGAUGAGCUGCUGGGAGAUACGACCCUCAGUCCAGAGAGUCAAGUUGCUAGAAUAUGGCUGUACGGCAAUGCUGAGACAUCACGCUGAGCGAGAGUGGACAUCCUCAUUUUAUUCCUACCCUUACCGUGGAUCUCUCCUGUGCUUCACCACUCAGUAUAAUGCUGGCUGAGCUCUUCUGACAAAUACCUUCCAAGAUGUGAGGAAAACACACAUUCUGAAUAAAUGAAGCCGUACAGAAUCCACCUGGCAAAAAUGGAAACUGCCUGGAGGCCAGGGCUGAGGGAAGGCCUGGAGCAGAGCCGGUGCGCGACCUCGCAGUGAGCAGGGAGGGCAGGCUGGGGACGUUCACCACCCAGAACGCCUCUGCUCCCCGCAACCCUGAGACUCCAGGCUCCCCUGUUCCUCCCUCCGGGAGACCCUGCCCGUCCUCCCCGCGGGGCUCCUUCGCAGUUCGGGGGAAGGGACGGGUUGCGUCCUCGGGACCUUUCUC
rnacentral:lncRNA from 1 species